GACGAACGCUGGCGGCGUGCCUAAUACAUGCAAGUAGAACGCUGAAGGAGGAGCUUGCUUCUCUGGAUGAGUUGCGAACGGGUGAGUAACGCGUAGGUAACCUGCCUGGUAGCGGGGGAUAACUAUUGGAAACGAUAGCUAAUACCGCGUAAUAGUAGAUGUUGCAUGACAUUUGCUUAAAAGGUGCAAUUGCAUCACUACCAGAUGGACCUGCGUUGUAUUAGCUAGUUGGUGGGGUAACGGCUCACCAAGGCGACGACACAUAGCCGACCUGCGAGGGGGCUCGGCCAAACUGGGACGGGGACACGGCCCAGACUCCUACGGGAGGCAGCCGUAGGGAACCUUCGGCGAUGGCCGGAAGUCUGACCGAGCAACGCCGCGUGAGUGCAGAAGGUUGUCGGAUCGUAAAGCUCAGUUGUAAGAGAAGAACGAGUGUGAGAGUGGAAAGUUCACACUGUGACGGUAUCUUAGCAGAAAGGGACGGCUAACUACGUG
rnacentral:rRNA from 1 species